GGCGCAGCUCCCGGCGAUGACCUCAGGCAGCUGAGCAAUUAGAGCCCCGCGCACCAGUGCUGUGCUGAGCGGGAACACAGCCCCGCGCCAGCCUUUAAUAUGAAAAUGAAGAAGGGAAACAACAAAUCCAAUAAACCGGCGAAGUCAAACAAAGCCAACUGGGAGUUCGUUUGGCGAUAAGAGCAAGGAAGAGAGGCGGCUGAUAAAGCCGGGUGUUUCUCCGCUGGCCCUGUCUGCCACGGGUCUGUCAGGACUGAGUGGCUCGGGAGGCAGCCUGGACUCACCCAGGUGGGAAAACCACCUCAGGGAAUGAGGACACAUGCGAGUGCUUCAUUUGCAGCCGGGGAGAACAGGCGUGUUUCUGCCCCUUUCCCAUUUCCAGGCAUCUGUAAGCGCUUUGCAAAGCAAAUGAGUUUGCUCCACAGUGGGCCAAGGACGCAGAGCCCAGGGAGCAGGUCGGCAGCUUCUGCUCACCUUCAUUUGAAACAGCAUUAUCCUGCUGAGAGUUUUGAAGUCAUAAAGUCACCCUCCGCUGCCAAGAUCCUCCAUCUGAAGAUCUCCAGCAGACGCCGACCGCAGCACCUCGGCACCGUAUCAAUUGAGCUCAGCCACUGUACAGCCCAGCAAAGCUCAGUCCUGUCACUGUGCAAACACUUUACUCCCAAAGAAGAGGAUCCCUACAAGAUCUCGGCCAACUUCAGAGCGCUCUGAGUAAGGUAUUAAGCCAACAUCAGCGCCUACACCAGCGCUCGUACCAGUCUGAGUUAAUCAGUUUAAACCCAUACCUUUAGAUAAAUACUUGUGUGCAGACAGACGGUGAUUCAGGAUUUGAUCAAAGCUCAAUGAAUACAAUGUGAAUGAACGUGCGGUCUGAACAAAUACAUAAAUAAACAGAAAAGAGACAAUAAAGGAUCAGUGGCCAUUCUCCUUGAAGACCAGGCACGGUGCUCAGAAAACCCCAGAGUCAGCUCUAAAGGGAUUACACGGAUUUGGCAGGGAAUCUGCUGCUCUGGAAGAUGAGGAGCUCAUCAGGAGUACAUUACCCUGGAAAAAUCCCCCAGCACUGGAAGGUCCCCACAUAGCCUGGAUUUGGAAUACCUUAACCCAUGGCUGUGCAACCUUCUGGCUUGCCUGGGCUGCAGUGAGUGAAGUGGAAUUGUCUUGGGCUGCAUAUACAGAGGUUGCACCAAAAGUAAUGCCUCCUAUUUAUUUCCCCAGAAACUACAACCAAUAUAACAGGCACAACAACACUAUUUGAUAGAGCAAAUUCUCUGCUACAAAACACUAUCUUUCAUCAGAGCCACCGUCAUUAGCUAUGCAUUUUCACCAGCAGUGAACAAAAGCCUGUAUGUCAUACUCCUCAAAACCUGUACCACUGGAGGUGACCCACUGUCACCACUGCUGAAACACACCACCCAUUGCCUCACUGUGCUCACAUCCGCUGUUUGGUCUCUACAAACAUGCAGCAAGCAUCGGUGAAUGCCACUUUUCUGUAUGAAGGAAUCCAAUGACACCCCUUUGCUUCAUAUGCACUUCCACAUAUUAGAUGUCACUUUGUCAGACUGCCCCUCUGCUGCCAUCUGUCACAUGGUAACAACAGGUAACAGGAUAUUGGUGGGAAGGUUCAGCCUCUACUGUCAUACCACCAAUAUCUGCCUCUGAUGUCAUAGGCCAGCAUCAUAAAGUAGGAUACAUUACUUUUGGAGCAGCCCUCAUUAAAUAUGUAGUACAGCUCCUGUAUUUAAGUAACAAAACUAAUUUUAUUUUUUAAUAUUUUUUAUUCAAACUAAAAAGGAGAGAAACAAAUACCUACAACUAGUGGGAUAUGUGUCCUUGUUUUUAUGAAACUAACACACCACUCUGAUUCGAUGGCAGUGGCUCCAUUUCACAGUGAGCUCUCAAGGUCUUUGUCAGAGAUUUUAAUGAAAUUUUACUUUUCCUGUGCUUUAUCCUUGAAAAUAGGUGUGCACAAAUGUAUCUACUGCCAAAAAGCAGUGACAUGAAUGAGGUGUGGCUGUGAGGUGAGGGGUAUUUAUCUCUGGUAAGAGAAUGAUUAUAGAAGUGUGGUAGAGAGACAUGGUCACGUUAUUUUUUUAGUUGAAUAUUUGUUUGCAAUUCUGUACAUUCCAUUUGAAAACUGACAGCUUUUCAACCUCAUAUAUUCAGGUCAACUGAAAACAGAACUGCAAAUAUCCCCAAAAAAUAGAUAAUUUUUUUCAGAAAUCUCAAAACUUAUUCUCAAAUUCCUUUAUUACAACAGAAAGCACAGCUCCAUUUUUUUUAAGCUGUUCACAGGACUGUCUUUAGCCAAUGUAUCAAAACGCAUAACAUUCUUUGCCAUCACUGAAGCUGGCACUGCACUCUCCCCAUGCCCUGGUUUCAGAUCAGGCAGUGCCCAUCACACACCAACGUUUGCUUGCUGUGAGCAAUGGGUGCACAUCCAGGGCCAGGCAGGGCCACUGAGCAGAGCCUCUGCCAUGAUGGCAUGGGGCAGGGGGUGGCCACAGGACAGGCUAGGCUGGGCUGGCCCACAUGCGGCCUGCAGGCCAUGGGCUGGACAUGCCUGCUUUAGCCCAAGAUAAUUUUUCCUCAAGUAGUGACUGCAGAGCAGAGACCCUACUGCUGACUGAAAUGAACCAUGCCAUAGGAAGAGUCCAAGCCUUGGGUCCAAGGUGACAAGCCUUCCUCAGUGUGCCUAGCCCGGAGCAGGGCAGGUACACACAGCCCAGACGUGCCCUGAGUUACUUUGUCACUUAAUUUACUAGGACAGUAUAACAUGCAGCAUGUGGUUAAUAGAAAUUGCACCUGCUGAAUCAAAUGACAGACAUUUCAACUUAUGCACUGGGGUCCGGCUCUCCUUAGAAGCACAUAAAUACCAUGAGAGCUGAUACUCACGCAGCCCAUAGCCAAACCCUGGAAUCAGGCCCAUAUAUGUCCUCUUUGUUCACAGCUACCCCGUAAAGAAUCAACAUUUAUAGCUCAAAAGAAUGCUGCAAGGACUUUGGAAAAAUGAACCUGAGACACACCUUUGCCUUUAACUGGAAUCAAAAUUGUUUUAUUUCUGCAAAACCUUUUUAAACUUUUUUGUUUGUUUGUUUGUUUAUAGGAACCAUGACAGAGGUUCUAUCUCCGAACACAAUUUUCUCAAGAAACACUCUGUAAAUGCCACUGAACUUACACGACGAAAGAUCUGCAGAACAAGGGCCUUAGCAGAGAUAAGUAAUCACAAGAAAAAGAUUAGGCAACAGCAAGCCUACAGGCGGAAGUGGCGUAUUGGGAUUGCAGUGGCAUGACUACAAAGCUUCAGAGGAGAGUGCACAAUUCUCACUUCAGUUCUGAUUUCUUUCUUCUGGCUCAUUUUUAGGCCAUAUAGUAUAUUUUAACCUUACUUCUUGUUUUUCAGGGAGCUCUCCUACACUUUUCUUUGUCUCUGUUUUCUCAUUCUAUUCCCUUCCAGGGUUUCUGCACUUUCUGUUCCAGAAAUCUCUUGCAGGAUCUGAUUCUGCAGAUGAUGCUGUAACCAGCAGUCAUAUUUUAUCCUGUGCCUGCUGAAACAAAUGAUGGAACUGCUAUUCCAGUAAGGGAGUCGUGAAUAUGGAUCAUAGCUCAGAAGAUGAACACCUCCAACUGUGCAUGCAAAGAACAUCUGAAUUGAUUUUCCAAGGAGGAGAAGUACAGAACUCAAAGUGCUCCUUUGGUAGGAUGUGUGUGCUCACACUGAAACUCAGGCUUUCAGAAUCAAUUCACAAACUCCUGUAACUCUGUACUAUUUAAACACGGAUUCAGAAGGUUACAUCAUUUCCUCUGACCCAUGCAAAGAUAAGACACAGGACCAUCAGACAGUGGUUUGCAGCGAUCUGACUAACAUCACUUAUAACCCAUCAAAGACACUCCACAGCUCAGUCCUGAGCCCUCUUAGGAUGCAACAAUCCUCCUACAGAGUGCACAGUUCGGAUAUCUAUACUGUGCAGAGAAGCAUUACAAAUGGACAAUUGCACAGGAUUAAUCCUGCUCAGAUUGCAUGCCCUGUGGCCUCUGGAUGACGGCCAGCUCCACAUCAUUACCGCCUCUGAACAAGAAGAAGAGCCUCAUCUGGGGCAAGAUACAGCCUGCAAAACAUUGCUAAGAGUUAACAGGUGAGGUAGUCAGUAGCAGGUUAUACGCUAUAUGUUAUAGGUAUGUUAUGUUUAAUGUCCUUUAGUAGGACAUCCUCUUUGCUUCAUUGUUAUGUAGCAAGUACCUGGAGAAGGACUGAAGCUGGAAGUGCACCCGCAGAGGAGGGAAUGGGAAGGUGAAGGUGAUGCUGGGUAAGAGUGAGCAUGGAAUCUGCAGGCACAGUGGUUCUUGAUGCUUUCUGAGGAUAAACUCCAGUUAUAAGCAACUUAGGUGGUGCCAAGAGGCUGCAGAUCUGAAAACCACUAUCAGAGGAGGAAGAAACCAAAAGCCAAGGUCUUUCAGGAGCAGUGCCUGUUGCCCCAGACCAUGUGGAUGCAGAGUGAAGAUGGGUGUUGGAAAAGCACCACGUGUAGAAAGUUGAGUCCACGGGGAUGGGAAUAUGGGAACUCAGAUCCUGUCCCUUGCCUCCACCUGACCUGCCAUGCAGAUGUCACAAGCUCAUUUGACUGUACUCUAUGUUGUCUACUUAAUAAGCAUCCUAGAUGUUGCAAUGUAACCUUCAUGUGAGACAGUAAGACCAGCAGAGUCCACAUCUCAAGGUGCUGCAGCAAUGUGCCUGAUCCUAACAGGAGGAGGGGUGAGAGGCUUUGAAGUCGUGUUUCUCUGAGAGCUGGGGAACAUUUAUUGUGAUAAAUGUUGAUAAUCCUUUGCUAAUGGAGGAGAAACACUCAAUGGUAGGAAGGCAGUACAUUCAGGCUGAAAGAUUGCAGCCAAAUGUGAAGGAACUGCUGGUAAACUUGGAAGGAUGGAGCGCAGGGAAACCUUUCACAUCUUCACAGGAGUCCUGCCUUGAUCACCAGGAAAGGCCUACCUGUAGCUUGUGCCCUUGGGCUUAUUUAACCCUGACACUCUCAAGGUUACUUGGGUCAUAUUUUUGAGCUUCUGAGUUUAGCAGAGUGAAAAGAGGAUAGAAGUGGCAGCACUUCAGAGAGGCUGAACUAUACAACCAAAGCAUUUUAUUUUUCUUCGUCAAUUGCAGCACUGCAUGGGCAACCAUUGACUUCCAGUACUCUCCUAACUUGAAUCCCAAAUCUUCUCUGUGAUCUGUUUUCAUUGUAGUUUGUCUCUAUUGCGGCCUGCUGUAGGAAUGCACACUGAGAACCAGUCCUGGUAAGCUAUAGUAGACCAACAGCUCUGUGUAUUGGGGCAGAAGCCAAACAUAUAAGGAGAUGUACCUAGCCAUAGGCCUAUCUGAGGGAUAUUACAGGUAUAACAGCUCUAGCAGACCUUGGUCACUGUUCUUUCUCAUUCGUACUGGUUAGAAAAGAUCAUUUCUAUUCUGUACAUUUCCUACCAUUAAAAAUGUUUGCACCAUUCCAACACCAAAGUGAAAACCUGAAUUAUUUUAAAUCACAAAAUGGAUAUUCAGGAAGCUUUUGUUGGGAUGAUUCCAGGAAACUGGAAUGCAAUAUUUAAACUGAAACUGCAGCUACUUGGAGCAAAAGGCUGAAAUAGAAGAUUUCAACCUCAUCCUCCACACAAAGUGCAGAAGGCUAAAUGAUUUGUUUCAGGAUGCCCAGCACCAUCAGAACUUGAAAUUUUCCAUGAAGUGUUUAGAAUUAUCAAAGGGAAGAAUUGUUGCACCCAGAUGUUAUUAUAUCCUGUGGUUACCAAGCGUCCCUCUAUUGGUUAGCUGUUGGUAGUUUAUGUAUUUCUUGUUCUUUCUUCCUCUGCGUCUGGGCCUCAGUCUACAGGUACUCAUGUUCAAGAAGCACAGCCCAGAGACAGAUCAUUUAAAAGACUUUCUAAUCUGUGAAUAAGCUGCCUCUGUCUGAGAGAAGCUGCAAGUCUUGCUGCUGUCUUUCAGCUCUGACUGGUGGGAAGCUCCACUGAAUUCCCAGUGGUCUAUCAUUAUUCCAGAUGUCCACUCAGCCCUGCCACCUUUUGCUCAUUUUUCAGUAUAUAUUUGAGCAGGGUUUCUUCAAACCAGGGAAUAAUACCUGUGUGAUCGCUGCACGUCAGUCAACAGCCUUUGCUAUUUACCAUUUGCAGUGUCACCUUAUUUUGUCUUCAAGCAAUCAUGUAAAGACAGAGGAACUGCUCUGUAAGAGUGUGGCAGCAUGCAACAAGAUGUCUAUGAAUGAAUCUUCUCUCAGAGAAAGGCACAACAAGAAUAGGUGGAAGUUGAAGCCAUAUUGAAAAAAAAAAAAUCCAAUGUGAGAACUCAGAACUAUAUCUUCACCAGUGGGGUGAAGAGCGUGCCAGCACAGUGCAGCAGCCUUGCUGCUAGGAGAACCAAGGAACCUUCACCAACACAAACUGUACUUCCCGCUGACCUUGCAGAUAACUGCGAACCAAAACACUCAGCCCUCUAAUUUCUGUUCCUGAUGGAGCUUUACAAGAUCGAGCUAAAUUUAACGAG